AGAGUUUGAUCCUGGCUCAGGAUGAACGCUAGCGGCAGGCUUAACACAUGCAAGUCGAGGGGUAACAGGGAAGCUUGCUUCCGCUGACGACCGGCGCACGGGUGCGUAACGCGUAUGCAACCUACCUCAUACUGGAGAAUAGCCCUUGGAAACGAGGAUUAAUGCUCCAUAGUAUCACAGAUUCGCAUGUUUCUGUGAUUAAAGAAUUUCGGUAUGAGAUGGGCAUGCGUCCCAUUAGCUUGUUGGUGAGGUAACGGCUCACCAAGGCAACGAUGGGUAGGGGGCCUGAGAGGGUGACCCCCCACACUGGUACUGAGACACGGACCAGACUCCUACGGGAGGCAGCAGUGAGGAAUAUUGGGCAAUGGAGGCAACUCUGACCCAGCCAUGCCGCGUGAAGGAUGACGGCCCUAUGGGUUGUAAACUUCUUUUAUAUGGGAAGAAACUUAUCUACGUGUAGAUAACUGACGGUACCAUACGAAUAAGGAUCGGCUAACUCCGUGCCAGCAGCCGCGGUAAUACGGAGGAUCCAAGCGUUAUCCGGAUUCAUUGGGUUUAAAGGGUCCGUAGGCGGGUCUUUAAGUCAGUGGUGAAAGCCGACAGCUCAACUGUCGAACUGCCAUUGAUACUGGAGACCUUGAGUACAAAUGAAGUAGGCGGAAUGAGUCAUGUAGCGGUGAAAUGCAUAGAUAUGACUCAGAACACCGAUUGCGAAGGCAGCUUACUAACAUGUAACUGACGCUGAGGGACGAAAGCGUGGGGAGCGAACAGGAUUAGAUACCCUGGUAGUCCACGCCGUAAACGAUCAUCACUCGCUGUUGGCGAUAUACUGUCAGCGGCCAAGCG
rnacentral:rRNA from 1 species